AUUGAACGCUGGCGGCAUGCUUUACACAUGCAAGUCGAACGGCAGCACAGGGAGCUUGCUCCCGGGUGGCGAGUGGCGCACGGGUGAGUAAUACAUCGGAACGUGUCCUGUUGUGGGGGAUAACUGCUCGAAAGGGUGGCUAAUACCGCAUGAGACCUGAGGGUGAAAGCGGGGGAUCGCAAGACCUCGCGCAAUUGGAGCGGCCGAUGCCCGAUUAGCUAGUUGGUGGGGUAAAGGCUCACCAAGGCGACGAUCGGUAGCUGGUCUGAGAGGACGACCAGCCACACUGGGACUGAGACACGGCCCAGACUCCUACGGGAGGCAGCAGUGGGGAAUUUUGGACAAUGGGGGGCAACCCUGAUCCAGCCAUGCCGCGUGCAGGAUGAAGGCCUUCGGGUUGUAAACUUCUUUUAUUAAGGACGAAGAAAGUAGACGGUACUUAA
rnacentral:rRNA from 1 species